GUAAAACAGAUUCUUUUUAUGAUUUUUAAGGUAGAAAAACUAGAAACAUUCAUUCUAGGUUCAUUUUUUUUUUUUUGUAGAAUUUAAAAUUUAAAUACUCAGUGAAUCAGGGCAGAAAAGAAUGAUGAAAUCCUUGACAGUUUUACUAGUGAUCCUGUGGCUUCAGUUAAGCUGGGUUUGGAGCCAACAGAAGGUGGAGCAGAAUUCUGGACCCCUCAAUAUCCCAGAGGGAGUCAUUGCCUCUCUCAACUGCACUUACAGUGACCGUUCUUCUCAGUCCUUUUACUGGUACAGGCAAUAUUCUGGGAAAAGCCCUGAGCUGCUGAUGUCUAUAUACUCCAAUGGUGAUGAAGAAGUUGGAAGGUUUACAGCACAACUCAACAGAGCCAGCCAGUAUGUUUCCCUGCUCAUCAGAGACUCCCAGCUCAGUGACUCAGCCACCUACCUCUGUGCAGUAAGCAUCGUACUAUGGGACGGCUGGGGGAAAUUGCAGUUUGGAGCAGGGACCCAGGUUAUGGUCACCCCAGAUAUCCAGAACCCUGACCCUGCCGUGUACCAGCUGAGAGACUCUAAAUCCAGCAACUCCUCUGUCUGCCUAUUCACUGAUUUUGAUUCUAAAAUGAAUGUGUCAGAAAGUAAGGAGUCUGAAGUGUACAUCACAGACAAAACUGUGCUAGACAUGAAGUCUAUGGACUCCAAGAGCAACGGUGCCGUGGCCUGGAGCAGCAAUUCCAAUUUUAAAUGCACAGACGCCUUCAACGGCAGCUCUCUUCCAGCAAACACCUUCUUCUCCGGCUCAGAAAGUCUCUGCGAUGCCAGCCUUGUUGAGAAAAGCUUUGAAACAGAUAUGAACCUAAACUUUCAAAACCUGUCAGUGAUUGGGUUCCGAAUCCUCCUCCUGAAAGUGGCCGGCUUUAAUCUGCUCAUGACGCUGCGGCUGUGGUCCAGCUGAGGUCCGAAAGAUUAUAAGAGAGCCUGUGCUCCCUUGCACCUUCAUCCGCACCACCCCUCCUCUCCCUCUCCAAGCAAAGGGGACGCUCCCACCCCCACGGAGGAGAAAGCUGCUACCACCUCUGUGCGCUCCCCUCCCCCCUCCUCCCCCCCACAAUGCCACCAACUGGAUCCUACCCGAAUUUGUGACGAAGAUUGCUGAAGAGCUGCCAAACACUGCUGCCACCCCGUUCCCUUAUUGCUGCUUGUCACUGCCUGACAUGCAUGGCAGAGGCAAGGCUGCGGCAGCCUCGCCUGGCUGUGCAGAUCCCCUCCCGCUCCCCAGAGACUGCCUCCACCAUCCCACAGAUGAUGGAUCCUCAGUGGGUUCUCUUGGGCUCUAGGUCCUAGAGAAUGUUGUGAGGGGGUUAUAAUUUUUUAAAUAAUGUUCAUAAAGAAAUACAUAUUAUUCUCAAGAUGUGGCGGAAAUUAAUCUCAUUAUCGAGGCCCUGCUAUGCUGUGUAUCUGGGCAUGUUGUAUAUCUUGCUGCCCCAUGGCUUCAUUAAAAAUGACUUGGAAGAGCA